GGAUGAACCGCGUAGGCUACAGGCUUAACACAUGCAAGUCGAGGGGCAGUCAGGAAGAAAGGCUUGCUUUCUUUGCUGGCGACCGGCGCACGGGUGAGUAACACGUAUCCAACCUGCCCUUUACUCGGGGAUAGCCUUUCGAAAGAAAGAUUAAUACCCGAUGGCAUAAUGAUUCCGCAUGGUUUCAUUAUUAAAGGAUUCCGGUAAAGGAGUGGGGAUGCGUUCCAUUAGGUUGUUGGUGAGGUAACGGCCCACCAAGCCUUCGAUGGAUAGGGGUUCUGAGAGGAAGGUCCCCCACACUUGGAACUGAGACACGGUCCAA
rnacentral:rRNA from 1 species